AUUGAACGCUGGCGGCAGGCCUAACACAUGCGAGUCGAACGGUAACAGGAAGAAGCUUGCUUCUUUGCUGACGAGUGGCGGACGGGUGAGUAAUGUCUGGGAAACUGCCUGAUGGAGGGGGAUAACUACUGGAAACGGUAGCUAAUACCGCAUAACGUCGCAAGACCAAAGAGGGGGACCUUCGGGCCUCUUGCCAUCGGAUGUGCCCAGAUGGGAUUAGCUAGUAGGUGGGGUAACGGCUCACCUAGGCGACGAUCCCUAGCUGGUCUGAGAGGAUGACCAGCCGCACUGGAACUGAGACACGGUCCAGACUCCUACGGGAGGCAGCAGUGGGGAAUAUUGCACAAUGGGCGAAAGCCUGAUGCAGCCAUGCCGCGUGUAUGAAGAAGGCCUUCGGGUUGUAAAGUACUUUCAGCGGGGAGGAAGGGGGUAAAGUUAAUACCUUUGCUCAUUGACGUUACCCGCAGAAGAAGCACCGGCUAACUCCGUG
rnacentral:rRNA from 1 species